rnacentral:rRNA from 1 species
AUACGGAGGGUGCAAGCGUUAUCCGGAUUUACUGGGUUUAAAGGGUGCGCAGGCGGUAAUUUAAGUCAGUGGUGAAAGCCUACAGCUCAACUGUAGAACUGCCAUUGAAACUGAAUUACUUGAGUGUGGUAGAGGUAGGCGGAAUACAACAUGUAGCGGUGAAAUGCAUAGAUAUGUUGUAGAACACCGAUUGCGAAGGCAGCUUACUAAACCAUUACUGACGCUCAGGCACGAAAGCGUGGGGAGCGAACAGGAUUAGAAACCCGAGUAGUCC